CCUACGGGGGGCAGCAGUGGGGAAUAUUGGACAAUGGGGGGAACCCUGAUCCAGCCAUGCCGCGUGUGUGAAGAAGGCCCUCGGGUUGUAAAGCACUUUCAGUGAGGAAGAACGCCUGGUGGUUAAUACCCAUCAGGAAAGACAUCACUCACAGAAGAAGCACCGGCUAACUCCGUGCCAGCAGCCGCGGUAAUACGGAGGGUGCGAGCGUUAAUCGGAAUUACUGGGCGUAAAGCGCGCGUAGGUGGCUUGAUAAGCCGGUUGUGAAAGCCCCGGGCUCAACCUGGGAACGGCAUCCGGAACUGUCAAGCUAGAGUGAAGGAGAGGAAGGUAGAAUUCCCGGUGUAGCGGUGAAAUGCGUAGAGAUCGGGAGGAAUACCAGUGGCGAAGGCGGCCUUCUAGACUGACACUGACACUGAGGUGCGAAAGCGUGGGUAGCAAACAGGAUUAGAUACCCGUGUAGUC
rnacentral:rRNA from 1 species